UCUGUUCCCUGCGCGAGCAUGCUCACAACCAGCCGACUCUCCCAUUAUCCCCUUGCCUAGUUUGGUGCUCCCGUGUACAUGGCUAUUCCGUGUACAUAUGUGUGUAUACAAACACGCGUGCUUGCCUGGAUGGACAGACGUGUGCACGUGUUAUUUUUUAAAGAAAAUUCUUUCAAUAAGGUCUUUACCCCUUACUUGAAACAGGUGUUCACGAAAAAAAUGCACAAAAUCCUGACUGACCGGAAUAGCUCCUGAAGAAGGGUGCUGGGAUCCGUGGGGGUCAGAGAACACAGGACCAGCUUUGCCAUCCCCGAAAGGCCGAAGUCUGGUGCCUCGGAUUUGGCCCUGCGUUGCCCACUCCUGCUGCAUCUUGUCCAGCCAAGGGACAAAACAUCCUGCCACCUACCUGAAGAAUGGGAAGAAAAGAGAUUCUGAAAGUACAUAUUCCAAUGCCAUCAGAGGCUGAGAACAUCACCACUUGGAGGAGUCAGAGAUCGCUCUGUCACGCGCUGCCAGGAGUCGGAGGAGAGCUGGACACGAAGUGCUCUAGUCCUGGGAGGUAGAUAUACUGACAGUGACCAAGAGCCAUGAACAUCAGCUCCUGGGCUGCACAUCCGUGACCCACCAAAUGGAGAAGAGCAUAGCAGGGUCCUUCUCACUUCACAAAAGCUGGCACAAGGAUCAGAGAAGCCAAAGUAGCCAAAGCUGCCAGAGAAACCCAGAGAUGGUCAUGUGCUGAUUACAAACAGUUGUGCCAAGGGAUACUGUGAGAAGGGACCUCCCCCACCCUGAUUGCUUCACAUCUGGACGCCAUUCCUGAUGGAAGUCAAACCAUCUUCCAUCCACCAUGAAAGAUGGAUUUCUCUUUCAGCUGUGGCAGUGCUGGUUAGCCUUCCUUGUGAGGAAGUGUUCACUUUCCCCUUGAAGUUCUGGAUUCAGUUGUCAUGCCUGACUCUGGGUCACUUGAAACAGAAGCACCUGGGAACUUUCCUAAUCUUCAGAAGCUGCUAAAUCGACGUUACAUCUGUGUCAUGCGUGAUUCCAGGCUCCACUUCUGACAGGUGCUACCUGGCCUGGUCAGUGAGCCUCCUUGUCAGUGAGCCUCCUGCUCAGCUCUUCAGUUCCUUUCUUCCCGACCCUUCCCAUCCCAGAUGCAACUCCCUUAUCUGUGGUGCUUGGACUGCAUGUGAAGGUGAACAUGGGCUGGGAAGAAGUGCUGCCUUCGUCCAUUGGGAGGCAGUUGGAACCUGGUUCCAACCCAGGCAGAAGGUCACCCACCCUUCGCACAUAUUCUGCCUUGUUCCACACUCUUGACUCCCAGUAUUGUCUUCUAUGCCUGUCUUAAUCCAGGAUGGUUGUACUUUACUUUUCAAUUAAACAUAAUUUUGUUUACCUUUAA